UGGGGAAUAUUGCACAAUGGGCGAAAGCCUGAUGCAGCGACGCCGCGUGAGGGAUGACGGCCUUCGGGUUAUAAACCUCUUUCAGCAGGGACGAAGCGCAAGUGACGGUACCUGCAGAAGAAGCACCGGCUAACUACGUGCCAGCAGCCGCGGUAAUACGUAGGGUGCAAGCGUUGUCCGGAAUUACUGGGCGUAAAGAGUUCGUAGGCGGUUUGUCGCGUCGUUUGUGAAAACCAGCAGCUCAACUGCUGGCUUGCAGGCGAUACGGGCAGACUUGAGUACUGCAGGGGAGACUGGAAUUCCUGGUGUAGCGGUGAAAUGCGCAGAUAUCAGGAGGAACACCGGUGGCGAAGGCGGGUCUCUGGGCAGUAACUGACGCUGAGGAACGAAAGCGUGGGUAGCGAACAGG
rnacentral:rRNA from 1 species